GGUUGCUCAAAUAUAUUUUAAAGUCUAUCUUGGAAUCAGAGCAGGAAGUGGAGGAUCACAUCUCACCCUGCAAGUGCGAGCUAUGCAGAGUGCUGUUCUGCUGAGGAAUGCGUAUGGAAAGGUGAGGAAAGCAACCACACAGCGGAUAAAGUUGAGAAACACUACCUCAGCCCUGUGGCCAAGGUCAGCAUCAACAGCGACACAUUAUGUUGGUGGUAUAUACUCACAUGAUGUGGUCAUGUGAUGUGGUGAUGAGAAGAGCAUUUCCUCCUCAAAGCCCAUAACCCCAUUCUAAUAAUGAGAAAACUAUCAGCAAACCCCAAAUUGAGGCACAGAGUGCAAAGUGCCUGGCCGGUACUCCUCAGAACUGUCAAGGUCACCAAAAACAUGGACAGACCCAGCAACUGCCACAGCCCAGAGGAGCCUAAGACGAGAUGAAUAAAUGUCAUAUAGUCUCCUGAAUACCAUCCAUGAGCAGAAAAAGGACAUUGGGUGAAAACCAAGGACAUCUGAAUAAGAAUCAGCAAUGGUGACUUCGAAGUCAUCAUGAGAUGGAUGGCAGGAUGCAAAAUUGCUCAAACAGCAGUGGAGAAAUGCUCUCUGUACCUUCAGAAUGGGAAGUUUUUGUCGACUAGCUUUCUGUUUGUUUAUUUCAAUAAGUUGAAUCAUGAAAACUAUUCCUAAAAAGAAAAGAAAAAUCAUUAGGACACUUGGAAGCCACUCUCUAAAGCCAUGGGUAUGGCAAUGGAACUUCAAGAACAGGAGCAACCAGAAGGGUCCUUAGAAGCUACAGACACAAUGGCCCACUUAUAUACAAGGUUUUGAAGAGCUCCUGAGAGAAAUGCACGGAAAAGCCAACAGUGGUAGGUACGUGAUGGCAAUAGCUACUGCCUUUAAUCCCAAGAAGGAAGAUCAUAAGAGCACACAGCUUAAGCAUACGAGUAUCUCUAGUUAUCAACAUUAUAUCCCCAUGUAAAAUAUUAUGUGAUACAGAGUCGAAUUGCAUAUUGAAUUCUUUUGAGUAAGGAGGAAGAAAUCUCUUUUGGGAGAUCCAGUAAGACUUUUCUACCACUGCUCUUUGGGAAG
rnacentral:lncRNA from 10 species